rnacentral:lncRNA from 1 species
UCCUACGGCUGGCGAGGCUCUGCAGCGACCCGGGCUUCCUCCUCCACCCCACCGCCUGCACGGACUGCCCUUCCGGGCGGCUCCCAGGAGCGCCAAGACCUGCAGUGGUCGUGGCGCAGGUGGCCUUGGCAAGAGCCGGUCUCCCGGAGAGGGACCCUCCCAAGUGACCGUCCAGGGGCACCAAGGGCCAUUUGGCUGAUGAGAACCGCUCCCAGGCAGCGGCCUUGGGGCCUCGGGAGCCCCCUCCCCCAUCCUUCCCUUCCAGAACCCGCUUUUCCAGCUCGGCAGCAGCGUCAGGUUUCUGGCGUGUGGAUUGUUUUCCACCCCUGGGGCUUGGGUGGGAAGAGCGAAGACAGGAAAGCGGUUGCCCACGUCGUGUGUUCUGCCGUUCCCGCACCGCCUCCUCCAGAGGCGCCCCGGGGACCCUCCUAGCUGAAACAAACACAGAAACCGGGCCGUCUUAACAAAAAAGGCGCAGAUGCUGGGGCGCUUAGCAAGCCGGGCCUUUUGGACAAACAUGAGGGAGAGGCCAUGAACAGUACUGCUAUUUGCUGGAGCUCUUGGUGAGCAGUAAAUAGCAAGCAAGUCUCAAGACCCAGAGAAGGGCGUGGCUUCGUCCCAGUGCCGAGCAAACUGGUGGCAGAGUUGGAAGACCCAUCUGCCGGAUGAGGUCCCGGGGGGGGGGGGGGGGGGGUGUCCGGCAGAGUAUCCCUCACUGAGCUGGGAUGCAGAAAGAAAACACCCGUCCCAGGCCUCUCAGAGGAGCCAGAGAAAUAAACAAGCAAAAUACGGUGUGCUUAGAGCUGGGAAGAGGCGGGAGCCCGGGAGACAUGCCAGGGGAGGCCAGAAAAGGUGCUCCCUGCAAAGGCAGGGCUGUGGGAGGACAGGGCAGGCGCAGUUGGCUGCGGACCCCAGGAGCCCCACGUUCCCAGGCUCCGCAGACACCCAGGUUGCAGAGAGUCUGCGACACCACCAAAAUGGAGGCGCUUCUCUGAAGGAUGGAAAAAUCGAUGCCCACGGAAGAGCGGGAGCAGCGCUGGGGAGGAGACCAAGGGCAGCGGGGGAGUCAGGCGCCUGGGGUCCCGAGGCUGCGGCGCUGGCCGUUCCCCACCGUUCAGAACAAAGUCAGAGGCGGGUGUGGUCAGCACAGGCCUGGCCGUGUGGGUUUGUUUUCUCUUAUUUUGUUCAGAUUUCCGAAGCUCUCUAGGUUCGUGUAGAAAAUCAAGAUGAGUGAGUCCACCCUCGGAGGUAUCCUCCCUGCUCACGUGCAUAGUAAAUCCUUCUGGCCUUUUUCCUCUGCACGCUGAAUGUGCUUUUCAUUUUUGCAAAAAUAGGACGUGCUUGACUGCUUUUUUUUUUCUUCUUUCCUUUUUUCACUCAACACUCUGCCACCAGCAUCCUUCUGUGCCAUUACCUGGUAACCCGAUGGCUGCACCAGGAGUCGUCCCAUUGCGUGGUGGACAUGUGCACAGCACGGGGCUUGGGAUCCACACCUUGGUCCCUCGGCCACGUCCCCUGGGGCAGGUGACCUCCACCUUCUGACGUUGCCAUCCUCCUCUGUGUGGUGGGGCUUAUAGCCUUGUGGUGCGAAAUACAUGAAGAAAGAGGCAGAAAUUACUCCUUCCUUAUGGAAUAUGUGGGAAGCCUUCCAUCCCUGGGGGAAUUAUGAUUCUUUAUCUUUGUCCAGCUAAACCAUCAUUUACUUAGCUGACCCUUUAUCAUCGAACAUGUAGGUUCUUUAUUCAAACUCCCUUAAAGAAGG